rnacentral:rRNA from 1 species
UACGUAGGGGGCAAGCGUUGUCCGGAUUUAUUGGGCGUAAAGAGCGUGUAGGCGGCCAAGCAGGUCAGCUGUGAAAACUCGAGGCUCAACCUCGAGACGUCGGUUGAAACCGCUUGGCUAGAGUCCGGAAGAGGAGAGUGGAAUUCCCGGUGUAGCGGUGAAAUGCGCAGAUAUCAGGAGGAACACCGGUGGCGAAGGCGGGUCUCUGGGCCGAUAUCGACGCUGAGGAGCGAAAGCGUGGGGAGCGAACAGG